AUUGAACGCUGGCGGCAGGCCUAACACAUGCAAGUCGAACGGUAACAGGAAACAGCUUGCUGUUUCGCUGACGAGUGGCGGACGGGUGAGAAAUGUCUGGGAAACUGCCUGAUGGAGGGGGAUAACUACUGGAAACGGUAGCUAAUACCGCAUAACGUCGCAAGACCAAAGAGGGGGACCUUCGGGCCUCUUGCCAUCGGAUGUGCCCAGAUGGGAUUAGCUAGUAGGUGGGGUAACGGCUCACCUAGGCGACGAUCCCUAGCUGGUCUGAGAGGAUGACCAGCCACACUGGAACUGAGACACGGUCCAGACUCCUACGGGAGGCAGCAGUGGGGAAUAUUGCACAAUGGGCGCAAGCCUGAUGCAGCCAUGCCGCGUGUAUGAAGAAGGCCUUCGGGUUGUAAAGUACUUUCAGCGGGGAGGAAGGGAGUAAAGUUAAUACCUUUGCUCAUUGACGUUACCCGCAGAAGAAGCACCGGCUAACUCCGUG
rnacentral:rRNA from 1 species